GUUUCGUUUAAGGGCGUGUCUGUGGCGGCCUUACAAAUUUCGAUGUUUCGCCAUGAGAAAGGAAGUUGCUAUAACUCAGACAUACAAUGUCCAAUCUGCCCCAAACUUCACAUGUUUGAGAAGACUACUGACCUGAAUAUAUCUACAUGCCAAUAUUCAGAUAUCGCUAUAGCGCCACCUGCUGGCAACAGGAAGUGACAUGUUUUACGCCGUAACAAACUACUCCUAGAUAUUUUAUGACAUUUUAUAAUUUUUUUUUGGUCAGUCUAAUCUAAAGGCCUUUGCGAUGUUAAAUUGUGAACAUCUUGAGGUUUCAUUAAAGGGUGUGGCCAUGGCGCCGUGACAAAGUUUGAUGUCUCGCCAUGGGAAUAGAAGUUGUUGUAACUCAGGCAUAAGAUGUCCGAUCUUCCCCAAACUUCACAUGUUCGAAAAGAGUCUUGGCCUGAACACAUCUGAAGGUCAUUAUUCCACUAUAAUCAUAGCGCCACCUGCUGACAACAGAAAAUGGCUUGUUUUACACUAACUUAAACAUGCAAUGUCCAAUCUGCACCAAACUUCAAAUAUUUGAUGAGAGUCAUGGCCUGAAGAUAUCUAAAGGCCAAUGUUCAGUUAUAAUCAUAGCGCCACCUGUUGGCAAUAGGACACAACAUGCUUUAUACUAACUCAAACAUUCUAUGUUCAAUCUGCACUAAAUUUCAUAUGCUUGGUAAAAGUGCUGGACUGAAGAAAUCUACAUGACAAAAUCCAGUUAUAGUCAUAGCGCCACCAGCUGGCAGCAGGAAGAUUGGCACAUAUAAAUGACUUUGACAUAUUCCUCUUAUAUUUACCACAUUAAACGCAUAUUUCUCGCCGUUCGCUGUUUUACAAAAGCCACCCGGUGGUGGUGAG
ensembl:lncRNA